rnacentral:rRNA from 1 species
GGCGACUUCGAGCUCCGGCACUGGCGCCCGGCCAAGAAGAGUAGCUCCUCCGGGAUGAAGGGGCGGUGGGUGCCGCCGGAGAUCGAGAUCCCCAGCGGCGAGGAGGGGGGAUACACCAGCCUCCGCGACAUCAUGUCGUCGCCCGAGUACGCCGCGGCCAAGCAGGCUCACUCCCCCGCGGACGGGGCCGGAGGCGGCGGGGACGUGCACAUGAUACGCCACCCGCUCGUGAAGCACGCGGCGUACGCGUACCUGCAGCUCACGCCAUCCGCGCGGGAGGACCCCGGCAGGAUGCGCCGCCGGAGGCGCGGCCCGCUCUGCCGCCUUGUCCUCGGCUGUCUCGGCUUUGUCGGGGCGUUCUUCACGCGGUGA